ACAUGCUUUGAAGAAUGGACCAAUUGUAAGUUUAUUCAUCUGAAGAGCUGCUCACAUUAAAAAUGACACUUCUUUUCAUUCUUUGUGCACCCAGCAGUUGAACCGCAGCAAUUUCGCAGAUGUGGUCCAUGCUAUAUCUAUGAAAAGUGUGUUCAGCAUUUACUACAAUCCAAGAUACACAGGAGUUGUAACCGGAAUUAGUGAGAUGGAUCCUGUUAGAUGGUCUGGUUCAAAAUGGAGAUGCCUGCUGGUAUGGUUGCAGACAUUGAUUGUACAUUUCCAAAAUAUGUUCAACAUCUGAGUGGACUGAAAUUUGCUCUUCUGUUUCUCUUGUACUUUUUUACAUCAUGGUAUGUACUAGUUUUAUUACUAUAGGUCUGAUUUUGUUUAAAGAUUUUAGCUGAACCUUUAAAUGAAAUGCAAUACACGCUAAACUGUUCAAUUGAAACUAUGUUUGUUUUUAUAA